rnacentral:rRNA from 1 species
GAACGCUAGCGGCAGGCUUAACACAUGCAAGUCGAGGGGUAACAGGGAAAAGCUUGCUUUUUUGCUGACGACCGGCGAACGGGUGCGUAACGCGUAUAGAAUCUGCCUUGUACAGGAGGAUAGCCUUUAGAAAUGAAGAUUAAUACUCCAUAAUGUUGAGAGAUGGCAUCAUCUUUUAAUUAAAGAUUUAUCGGUACAAGAUGACUAUGCGUCCUAUUAGCUAGAUGGUAAGGUAACGGCUUACCAUGGCAACGAUAGGUAGGGGGUCUGAGAGGAUUAUCCCCCACACUGGUACUGAGACACGGACCAGACUCCUACGGGAGGCAGCAGUGAGGAAUAUUGGUCAAUGGAGGCAACUCUGAACCAGCCAUGCCGCGUGCAGGAAGACUGCCCUAUGGGUUGUAAACUGCUUUUAUACAGGAAGAAACUUAGUUACGUGUAACUAACUGACGGUACUGUAAGAAUAAGCACCGGCUAACUCCGUGCCAGCAGCGGGGUUAAUAA